rnacentral:rRNA from 1 species
UACGGAGGGUGCGAGCGUUGUCCGGAAUCACUGGGCGUAAAGGGCGCGUAGGCGGCAUGCCAAGCGUGUGGUGAAAGCCCGGGGCUCAACCCCGGGUCGGCCGUGCGGACUGGCAUGCUCGAGCACUGUAGGGGCGGGUGGAAUUCCGGGUGUAGCGGUGGAAUGCGUAGAGAUCGGGAAGAACAUCGGUGGCGAAAGCGCUCUACUGGACCGCAACUGACACUCAGGGACGAAAGCUAGGGGAGCGAAUGGG